rnacentral:rRNA from 1 species
GAUGAACGCUGGCGGCGUGCUUAACACAUGCAAGUCGAACGGAAAGGCCCAAGCUUGCUUGGGUACUCGAGUGGCGAACGGGUGAGUAACACGUGGGUGAUCUGCCCUGCACUUCGGGAUAAGCCUGGGAAACUGGGUCUAAUACCGGAUAGGACCACAUUUUGGAUGGUGUGGUGGAGAGUUUUUCGGUGUGGGAUGAGCUCGCGGCCUAUCAGCUUGUUGGUGGGGUAAUGGCCUACCAAGGCGUCGACGGGUAGCCGGCCUGAGAGGGUGUACGGCCACAUUGGGACUGAGAUACGGCCCAGACUCCUACGGGAGGCAGCAGUGGGGAAUAUUGCACAAUAGGCGCAAGCCUGAUGCAGCGACGCCGCGUGGGGGAUGACGGCCUUCGGGUUGUAAACUCCUUUCGCUAGGGACGAAGCGCAAGUGACGGUACCUGGAGAAGAAGCACCGGCUAACUACGUG